GUAUCCUAANCGUGCGAAGGUAGCGUAAUCACUUGUUCUUUAAUGAGGACUAGUAUGAAUGGCCCCACGAGGGCUGCACUGUCUCCUUUUUCUAAUCAAUGAAACUAAUCUCCCCGUGAAGAAGCGGGAAUUAUCCUAUAAGACGAGAAGACCCUAUGGAGCUUUAAACAAUUGAAACAUUUGCUUUUCUCCUAACUCCUCCCGAGCCCUUUAUUUUUAUUUAAGCAUUAUUAUUUCUAGUUUUAGGUUGGGGUGACCACGGAGCAAAACUAAACCUCCAUGAAGAAAUGAAUAUUUUUAAGCCACAAACUACUUUUUUAAGCAUCAACAAAUUGACCUUCAUUGACCCAAUAUAUUGAUCAACGAACCAAGUUACCCUAGGGAUAACAGCGCAAUCUACUUCAAGAGCUCAUAUCGACAAGUAGGUUUACGACCUCGAUGUUGGAUCAGGGUAUCCUAGUGG
rnacentral:rRNA from 1 species